rnacentral:miRNA from 1 species
CUCGUGUAACAGUUCUGAAGCC